AGCGAACGCUGGCGGCAGGCCUAACACAUGCAAGUCGAACGAACUCUUCGGAGUUAGUGGCGGACGGGUGAGUAACACGUGGGAACGUGCCUUUAGGUCCGGAAUAACUCAGGGAAACUUGUGCUAAUACCGAAUGUGCCCUUCGGGGGAAAGAUUUAUCGCCUUUAGAGCGGCCCGCGUCUGAUUAGCUAGUUGGUGAGGUAAAGGCUCACCAAGGCGACGAUCAGUAGCUGGUCUGAGAGGAUGAUCAGCCACAUUGGGACUGAGACACGGCCCAAACUCCUACGGGAGGCAGCAGUGGGGAAUCUUGCGCAAUGGGCGAAAGCCUGACGCAGCCAUGCCGCGUGAAUGAUGAAGGUCUUAGGAUUAUAAAAUUCUUUCACCGGGGACGAUAAUGACGGUACCCGGAGAAGAAGCCCCGGCUAACUUCGUGCCAGCAGCCGCCGUAA
rnacentral:rRNA from 1 species